GCCAGGCAUGGUGGCGUAUGCCUGUAGUCCCAGCUACUUGGGAGGCUGAGGUGGGAGGAUCACCUGAGCCCAGGGAGGUCAAGGCUGCAGUGAGCCAUGAUUGCACCACUGCACUCCAGCCUGGGCAACAGGGCGAGACCCUGUCUCAA
rfam:Gorilla gorilla gorilla genomic chromosome, chr2A, whole genome shotgun sequence